rnacentral:tRNA from 1 species
GUUGUUGAAUUAUAUAACUAUUAUGGUGAGGCCCGCACGCUCCUAAGGGGCAGGUUGCAGGUUCGAAUCCUGCCGGGGUCACCA